GACAGAAUAACUGUCCUCAAGUAUUCAAAGGGCUUCCAUGUGGAAGCCUCAGUCUCAGAGGGUAAAACCAGAAGCAAAUGGUAGACUUUGAACAGUGGCAAAUUUGGAGUUGAUGGAAUAAUUAGAGCUAUCCAAAAGUGGCAUGACAGAUAAGAAGCCCUGUGACCUGUCCCUGAUCCCAUGUAGCAGCCGGUAGCAGCACAGCUGCCGUCAGACCCACCACUCAGCCUACAUGCCCUGUGCGCCACCCAGCACCGGAAGUCACUUCGGAGUAAGCCACAGGGCCUCCUUUCUGUCACCCACUUCUUGCUCCAAGCCCUUGUCAGGAAAGUGAUUGGAACUUGGUGAGGAGAGAGCUGUUGAAGUUGAGAACGAGUGAAAUAUGGAAAUGGUUUGGGCCAGAUGACACUUGAAGAGGGUACCCCAAAAUCAGAAUGUUGUUAAAGUCAUUCAUUUCAAAAGAAGACUCUGGGACCCAAUAAACAAAGUUAAGCUGA